GUUGAGUUAUGCAGGGCUUUUGUGGAGUCCUAAGAAACAUACUGCCUAGAGUGUUUUUCAGAGUUUCUUCCUUUCUUUAUUUUUUUUCUGUUAGUGUAUGGAACUGAGGUGCUUCGUCAGGAGCUCCUUCAGUUGUUGGAGGAUGGAGAAGAGGACGCAGCCAUGACUUGUGAGACGUCGUCUGAGUCAGCUGCUACUCACUGGGCGAUCAGAAAUAUGGUGUCCUCGCAAAAGUGGAAAGAGGCCAGGCCUUGUCUUAUAGACAAUAUGUUAGCUACUCUGGAUCCACAGUCACACCGUGUGUGUCAGUGUGGCAAACAAGUAGUUGUGAGGUGUCUGGACUGCCUGCCUCUUCCAUUCCUUUGUGCUGACUGUGAUAUUGCAGUUCACACACGCUUUGUCCUGCACAACAGAGAGGCAGUAACAGGAGGGUUUUUGCAGCCUUCAUCAGAGUUUCACAAGCCAAUAGUUCGGCUGUUGCCUGUGCAAAGGCCAGACCAUGUGUGUGACUGCCCAGCAGGUAACGUUGAGGUUUCACCCGGCGCAAUUGUGGCUCUUGUAACCAUAAAUGUCUUUCUAUGACAUUAAGAAGGCUGCACCAGGGAUGUCACUUAAGGCAUUUGUCAAAAUGCUGGAUGAACGAACAGCCCAUUUUGGAAGGAAUGGCCGAAUAUCAGCUGAUGCCUUCAGUAAAAGUUUCUUGGAGUGGAGUGCUGUAAAGUUUGAGGUGGACAGGAUGUGCAAGGAGCCAUGCUUUAGCUGCCCUGCCUGCACUCCAGACAUGCUUGCCGUCUCAGUUGAUGGAAACCGCAAGCUUUAUCGCUUUCAGUCUAAUGCAAGCACUUCAGAGCAGGGGAACUUUGAAGGUGUCUUCAUUGAAAAAGAUGAGGAAGUUGCUGAGUUUGUGAAAUACAUCCAGAGACACACAAAUCAUGUCCCGGGGAAAGGGUUGUGCGGAUCUUCAUCUUGGACUGCAGCAAAGGAGUCGUCCAAAAAGUCCACUGGGAAGUUGGAUGAGGAGGGCAUGGAAAUAGCUGUUUGUCGCCACGGAGUCCUCUUAGCUGCAUUGAACAUGUUUCGAGGGGAGAUCUUUGCUUACCCCCUUUUUCUCCAGAGGAAGUUGGCAGCUAGCAUCCCAGGACAUAUUACGUUCCUUUGCUCCGAUGUGGCCUGUAAAUAUUUCCCCUAUUUAACCAAGGUGGCUCAGCAGUGCCCUGAGCUGAGGAACCUCUUGUCAAUGCGUCCUUUUCUCUCCGUCAUGCAUGCAAAGGCUCACACUUGGAAAUGCGAGAUCAAAUGGGGAGGUGCGUUUCAGGAUGGGGCCGGUUCAACAGUUGGAGAAGAGGUGGAACAAGUAAACAGUUUCCUGUCUAGGGCGGCCAUCACAACGAAGUACAUGUCUAAAGCAGGGCGAACAGACAUGCUGACCCUCCUGGCUUUGGGGUGGAACAAAAGGAAAGUGGAACAACUGGGCCGCACUUUGAGCCAGUGAUAUCUAAAGAUCAUAAGGAUCCUUAGAGAACAAGUGGAGAGCCUGAAUGCGACCAGAAAUGAGCUGGGUGUGGAUGACGACACACUGCAGCAAUGGGUGGCCGAUGUGCAGAAAUGGGCUGAAGUGAUCAAACUGAUGGCAGCCUUGGAGCGUUGCAGGCACGAAUAGAGGAGCUUGUCGUCAUCAUCAGAGUGCGAACACAAAGUCUUUACAGACAAAAUGAUAGCAACAAGAGGCGACACAGAAUUCGCAAGGUCAUCUUAGUUGAGAAGAAACGCUUGGCGGCUGCUGUUGACGACUACAACAAGCUCGCUGAACCAACAAAGCAAAUCGUAUCCAGUGAUGCCCUCAUGCAGACCGAUAUUUGGCCCUGGCAGAGCACAAGUGAACCUGCUGCUGACCUCCGGACAAAGAGAAAGGUCUUUGAGAAGGUGAUGGCUGUGAGGCGCCUGAGAGAGGAGGAGAUGAUCCUUUGCAGGGAGAUGCGGCAUCACUGGACAGUGUUGCGAAUGCGUUCUGUGGUGUUGGGGACAAUCUCCUCAGACUCCUCCUUUGUUGGCAUGUCGGAGGAUGCACAGAAGGGACUCUGUAGCCUGGUUUUAAAAAAACAAAGUGAACUGAAAGCUGAAAUGCUCAAAGUAAAGGACGUGUACAAGAGAAUCCUCAGCCACCAACCACUCCUGGAAAUGGACUCGGAGGAGGAGGAGGACAUUCCAGACGAUGCCACUGAGAGUGAUUUGAGCACUUCUGAUGAAGACUGAUUGUGUCAUCAUUGAUGUUAUGUUUGGUAAAAUAAAAAGUUAAUCACAUC
ensembl:lncRNA